GCACCGGUGGUGUACGGAAUACACAAUCCAUUCAUAUGGCAAGAAUAACCAUGGAGGAUUGAGUCCGGGGUUCGACUCCCCGCUGGUGCA